UCUCUCUCAUUUUAUUUUGGCUUAACUAAUUCUUUGCCAAAUGUUAUAACUCUUAAACUAAAACACCUCACUUGCAAAACUCGUGUUUCUGAUAAUUUAUGAUGAUAUAUUUGAAUAUUCUGUCAGUAUUAUUUUGGAAAAUAAGUAUAGGGAAAAUCCAAGCAGUUAUGUCAUUGGUUCAGUUUUCUCAGCUCACUUUUAAAAGCUUACUCACUUAAGGCUUUGCUUGAGGAUCACGUGGUCUGGUAAACUUGGUUUACCCGUAAUCUUGUAGUUGUAAAAUGAUAGAAUUUGUAUAGCUUUUCUAGAAAAUAAUUGUAUAUCACUUAGUUUUUAUUUGCCUAUCCUCUGUAUAAUUGAUUGUUGGACACUUCAUUUAGGAUUCUAGAUAGGCAUAAAAUCUAAAGAAUGUUUGGAGUGCUAAAUAUUCAUGUAUUAACUCAUGCACCAUUUGAAUAGCUGAAUUAUUGGUAAUAUGAUAGGUCUGUUAGUUAGGAGAUUUAUUUAUUUAAUUAGGCGAUAGUUAGAAGAAAGAUGUGUUGCCUAAGGUAACAAGAGGGGUUUGAGAUGGAGAGUCAUUUGGUGAGAAUUUGAUCUCUCAAAUUUCCAGGGUUUUACAUACUUUGUGUAUAUUUUUACACUCAAUCUAAACUAGUUUCUAGGUUUAGAAAAAGCCUGUCUCUCACUGAUCUGAUCAAAGAAUAGCACAUAGGUAGUAUUUAUGCAGAUUUGGCUGAACAAUUCGGCUACAAGUAUGUAAACAAGAUACACAAAUAUCCUAAAAACCACUAGAGAAUAAAAAAAUAGAAACAUAUAGAUAAACUUUUUUAUAAAAACUUGAAUUGAUUUGAUUCAUAUUUAUUUUUUCCAAACUAGUUCCUAUGAUUCUGGGCAAAAUGCUCAACCAAAUUUGAUAACCCCUCUAGAUGGUCUAUAGAAUAUAGAUAUUUGUUAUGCCUAACUUGAUGUUCAAUUAGAAUAAAUGGCACACACAUAACUCCAACUAUUGUAAUGAUCAAUCUAGAUUAGUAGCUAGCUAGAGAUAAAACGACUCCAAUUGUAUUUAAUUUUGCAACUGGAGCGGUAGGUUUCAAAAUAAUCAAUCCCGUAAGUUUUUGUGAAUUCUUUAUCUUUCAAUAGAGCUGUCCAAAUAUAUACUUAAUUGUUAAUACUCAUUUGCAUUCCACUGUAUUUUUUCCUUUUGGCAGCUCCAUCAUUUACCACACCUGUUUUUGUGUUGUUUUUGAAGAGCUUUAAUCUUUUCUAGGACAGCUUCGUUCCACUCUGGAACUUCUAGGGCAUCUUGUAUAUAUUUUGGAAUAUACAUGACAAUUUGAGUGGUUUUGGAGUUUUAAACAGGCCCAGAAGCAACAACAACCAAGCCUAAUGAGAACUCAGUGGUGUUGAACCCAGUAGUUUUAGAUUCUACAAUGUGCCAAAGAAAGCAACAUAAAUCCGCUCCAAUAUGAUUCUUUUCUGGUUCAAGUAGCUCAAAAUUCAGAUCAAAAGGGCGAAAACCAUAAUUUAUGAUCAUGAGAACUUUUAGUAUACUCAUUUUCUCCAUCAACUAUGGAAAGAAGUACUCCAUCAGCCAUUUUUUAAGAGUAUUUUCUUCCAAAAUAGAGUUGUUAAAUGGAGACCUUGGCAGAAUGGUGUGGCGGCUUUUUCGACAACCGUUGUAGGCUAUUGGUGAAGGGAUGCCCACCACGAGGGCACCAUAGACCGCAAUUACAUGUUUAUAUGAGAAACUUUUUGCCUUCUUCCACCCGUCGUCGACUACAUUGUUCCCGAUAAGCACUCUCUCUUUUGAAUACGGAGGAGAAAUGAACCAAAUAACCAACUGACAUUCCUAACACAUAAUUCUAGUAUCCAGUAUUUCAAGUGGAAUCAUAGGUGAAAUUCACUUUCCUAACACAAUUCUAGUAUCCAGUAUUUCAAGUGGUAUCAUAGGUGAAAUUCACUGUACUCUUUUCCUACAAACUUCACACAACAUAUUAUCUAGUAUCUAGUAUUUCACAAACAUCAGUACACCUUCAAUAACAACUAAGCCUUAUCUUCUAUGGAUUAAUUUCCGUCAUAAUGUUGUAUUUAAUAUCAUGUUUCUAUCUAAUUUAUUAAUUUCGAGAUCUUUCUUAAUAGGUUUUUUUAUAGUUUUUUUAGGUCUUCUUCUAUCUCUAGUUGUGUGGCCUCUUUCAAUCUGAUCUAUUCUCCUAAAAACAUAAUCUACAGGUAUUUUCGCUAGAUGUUCAAACUAUCUAAGUCUAUUUUCUACUAUCCUUUUUAUUAUAGGUGCUACCCCAACACUCUAAUAUUGUUAUUUCUAAUCUUAUUCUGAUUUGUCUUACCACACAUCCAACACAACAUUCUCAUCUCUGCUACACUUAUUUUAUUCUCAUGUUAUUCUUAACUGCCCAACAUUUUGUCCCAUACAUCAUCACAAGUCUUACCGUUGUUUGAUAAAAUAUUUUCUUCGGCUUGAGCGAUACUGUUGUGUCACAUAAAAUUCUCGAGGGCCUCAUUCAUUUCAGCCACCCAACUUGUAUUUGAUGAUUUAUGUCCUCUUCUAUUUUUCCAUCAUUUUGUAUUACGGACCCAAGAUAUUUAAACCACGUGACUUUUUGGAUGAUAUGGUCUCUACUUUUCAACUUUAGAUUAAAACACUUCUCCUUUUGCUGAAUUUACAUUCCAUAUAUUUUGUCUUACUUUUAUUUAUAGGCGAAAACUAUGCAUUUCUAAAAAUCCUCUCCAAGUCUCCAACGUCAUUUAAAUCCUCAUUUGACUCUCUAAGUAGGAUUAUAUCAUCUGCAAAAAGCAUACUCGCGGUAUUAGCUCUUUGAUGUAUUCUGUUAGUAUAUCCAAAAUUAAAGUAAAAAAGUGGGGUUUAUGGUUGAACCUUGAUGCACCUUUAUAUAACAAUUAUUUGGUGCUUGAUAGAUUCCAGAUAAAAGAGCAAUUGAUGGUUUGAAGUUUGAAUCUCAUAUAAGUUGUUUUGUUCUUAGCAAUUAAAUUAUUCUCCUUGACUACAAGGUGGAUGUUGGUUGGGUGGGGAAGUAUUGAUAGGUCCGAUAAGAGAUUUAUUUAGCUAGUUAGAAUGAGAUAGUAAGAAGAGGGCGUUGAGAGGGAGUCAUUUGGGGCUUAUUACUUAUUAGAACUGUGACUAGGGAGAGUCUUGUAUCUCUGGAAUGCCAGGGAUCUACUUAACUUUCUGUAAGUUUGUACACUCAAUCUGUACCAGUUUCUGUCAUAGUAGUGCGUACUUUUCUUUGUCAGUGAUAUUUUUUAUACAAGUAUCAUUGAGUUGAAUUGCAUAUUUAUUGGUAGAUCGUUUGAGCAAUGCAUAAUUGUUUGAUAUUCAAGAACAAUACUGAAUUUUGAUUCUGACGCUUUAAUCUGAUGUGGAAUCUAGUUUGCAGUCUUAGAAAUACUUUUAAAUUUCUUCAUUAAGCACUGUAAAUGAAAU